GAACAGUUAGUGGCGUAAGGGUUAGUAACGGGUAGGUAACGUACCCUGUGCUUCGGGAUAGCGUCAGUUGCCUUCGGGCAACUUUCCGAAAGGGGCGGUAAUACCGGAUAAUAUCAUUUGUCGAUAGGCGAAUGAUCAAAGAUUUAUCGGCGCGGGAGCGGCCUGCCUCCUAUCAGCUUGUUGGUGAGGUAACGGCUCACCAAGGCAGCGACGGGUAGCGGGACUGAGAGGUUGACCCGCAACAUCGGGACUGAGACACUGCCCGGACCUCCACGGAGGGCUGCAGUAACGGAUAUUGUGCAAUGGGCGAAAGCCUGACACAGCGACGCCGCGUGUAGGAUGAAGUCUCUCGGGAUGUAAACUACUGUCAGGGGGAAGAAAGUGCGCUCCGGCGUAUUGAUCUAACCCAGAGGAAGUCACGGCUAACUUCGUGCCAGCAGCCGCGGUAAGACGAAGGUGGCAAGCGUUGUUCGGUAUUACUGGGCUUAAAGCGUGUGUAGGCGGAAAUGUAAGCGUUGCGUGAAAGCCCCCGGCUUAACCGGGGAACUGCGCAACGAACUGCUUUUCUUGAGGCAAGUAGGGGUGCAUGGAACUCUUGGUGGAGCGGUGGAAUGCGUAGAUAUCAAGAGGAACGCCAGUGGAGAAAUCGGUGCACUGGGCUUGUUCUGACGCUGAGACCACGAAAGCGUGGGGAGCGAACGGGAUUAGAUACCCCGGUAGUCCACGCCGUAAACGAUGCCUACUAGGUUGUGGUGGUUCUGACACCAGCACAGCCGAAGCAAAAGUGCUAAGUAGGCCGCCUGGGGAGUACGGUCGCAAGGCUAAAACUCAAAUGAAUUGACG
rnacentral:rRNA from 1 species